UUACUGAGUUUACGCUCUAUAACCCUUUGUGAACAUACCUAUAACUGUUGCUUCGGCGGGUAGGGUCUCCGCGACCCUCCCGGCCUCCCGCCCCCGGGCGGGUCGGCGCCCGCCGGAGGAUAACCAAACUCUGAUUUAACGACGUUUCUUCUGAGUGGUACAAGCAAAUAAUCAAAACUUUUAACAACGGAUCUCUUGGUUCUGGCAUCGAUGAAGAACGCAGCGAAAUGCGAUAAGUAAUGUGAAUUGCAGAAAUUCAGUGAAUCAUCGAAUCUUUGAACGCACAUUGCGCCCGCCAUCAUUCUGGCGGGCAUGCCUGUUCGAGCGUCAUUUCAACCCUCAAGCUCUGCUUGGUGUUGGGGCCCUACAGCUGAUGUAGGCCCUCAAAGGUAGUGGCGGACCCUCCCGGAGCCUCCUUUGCGUAGUAACUUUACGUCUCGCACUGGGAUCCGGAGGGACUCUUGCCGUAAAACCCCCAAUUUUCCAAAGGUUGACCUCGGAUCAGGUAGGAAUACCCGCUGAACUUAAGCAUAUCAAUAAGCGGAGGAAAAGAAACCAACAGGGAUUGCCUCAGUAACGGCGAGUGAAGCGGCAACAGCUCAAAUUUGAAAUCUGGCCCUAGGCCCGAGUUGUAAUUUGCAGAGGAUGCUUUUGGUGCGGUGCCUUCCAAGUUCCCUAGAACGGGACGCCAGAGAGGGUGAGAGCCCCGUACAGUUGGACACCAAGCCUUUGUAAAGCUCCUUCGACGAGUCGAGUAGUUUGGGAAUGCUGCUCAAAAUGGGAGGUAUAUUUCUUCUAAAGCUAAAUACCGGCCAGAGACCGAUAGCGCACAAGUAGAGUGAUCGAAAGAUGAAAAGCACUUUGAAAAGAGGGUUAAACAGCACGUGAAAUUGUUAAAAGGGAAGCGCUUGUGACCAGACUUGCGUCCGGUGAAUCACCCAGCUCUCGCGGCUGGGGCACUUCGCCGGCUCAGGCCAGCAUCAGCUCGCUGUCGGGGACAAAAGCUUCAGGAACGUAGCUCUCUUCGGGGAGUGUUAUAGCCUGUUGCAUAAUACCCUUCGGCGGGCUGA
rnacentral:misc_RNA from 1 species